AUUGAACGCUGGCGGCAGGCCUAACACAUGCAAGUCGAGCGGAGCGGCGGACGGGUGAGUAAUGCCUAGGAAUCUGCCUGGUAGUGGGGGAUAACGUCCGGAAACGGGCGCUAAUACCGCAUACUAACAGAUGAGCCUAGGUCGGAUUAGCUAGUUGGUGGGGUACAGGCCUACCAAGGCGACGACCCGUAACUGGUCUUAGAGGCAGAUCAGUCACACUGGAACUCAGAAACGGGCCUGACACCAACGGGAGGCAGCAGUGGGGAAUAAUGGACAAUGGGCGAAAGCCUGAUACAGCCAUGCCGCGUGGGUGAAGAAGGUCUUCGGAUUGUAAAGCACUUUAAGUUGGGAGGCGUGACCAGCAGAAUAAGCACCGGCUAAAGUCGUGCCAGCAGCCGCGGUAAUUC
rnacentral:rRNA from 1 species